UAAGCAACACCUCUGCAAGAUGUACAGCAGGGAUGCAGCGACAGGAGUGUCCCUGGGAUGUCCCUGGCACCACAACAGCAGCGAUGUGUGACCCCGGCGGCUUAGAAGGCCUUUGGCAUGCCUCCUUCCAAGAGGCUGAAGUGACUCACUCAGAGCCUCCUCUGAGAAGAAAUCGCUUCAUGGUGCUCAGGACUCGGAAGGAAAGCCAAAGAGAAAAGACUUCAAAACCAAGGAUUCAACAUGGGACCUGCUGCCAGGAUCCCCAGCUGCCGAGUGCCGGAUCCCCUGCCUGAAUGAAAGCCUGGCACAGAGACUCCUGCUGCUGUUGCUGAGUUUCCUCCUCUGUGCCCAAGACACCUGCUUUCCCAAGUGAGAAGCAAGUGCUGCUGAAAGACAAGAGGGCAAAAUAUGCACCAAAGAGCCAACCAUGCUGUGCAAUGUUGUAUUCAAGAUGCUGAGAGCCGGAAUGAAAGUGGGAGACAUUUCCAACAGGGUGAAGAAAAGGCUGAGCUGGUCCAACUAGUCCAACAACAGAAGAAAGUGAUGAGAAUGA